GCUCCCUAUCAUUCAGGAUGGCUACCACUCAUGUGAGCCUGAUGUCAGGCGCAGGACAAGCCAUGAGAACCAGCCUGGUGUCUGCUCCUAAUUGUUGCUUAAGUCAACAGGGGUAGAGAUAAUAAAAAAAAAGCCUCAUUGCUGUAAUUGCCGGGGGAGAUAAUACAUGACCCGGUCCAUUAUUUAUAAGGAUGUGGCUAGGCCUAAUAAUACACUGCCACUCUGCAACACGAUUACAACAAGCGGGACAAUGUGAAGCUGACCGUGGCAUUAAUAAUGGAGGGAAACUUUAUCUUGCCGGAGCUCAGUGUCACUUGGCCAGCGGUCUGUUGCUCCUGGAAUUUAGAACAAUCUGAUGUCUCUUUUUCCUUCUACUUGCUAUCAUAUCUAUUCUGCAUUGGGUUUACCAAUUCAUUUUUUUUAAAUUUAUUUAUUCUUUUAUAUAUCUAGCGCUGCAUUUCUAACCUCACACCAAAGUAGAUACAGUGUUGAGUCAGGAGGAGCAUAGCCAAGCUUCAGACACUAGAGCAGGGGUCUCAAACUGCAGAUGUUGCAAAACUUCAACGCCCAGCAUUAGACAGCAGUUAGCUGCAGCAAAUGGCUGUCUGGGCAUGUCCAGACAUGAUGGGAGCUGAAGUUUUGCCGCCAGUUUGAGACCCCUGCACUAGAGGCUGCACACAGCAUGACUAUUGUCUGACUCCUCCCACUUUGCGGGGUCACAAUGAGCAGAGAACCAGGGUCUGCUGAGUACUCUGCAUUGCGGGAGAGCGCAGGAAUUGUGGGACGUGCAGGUUUUCCAUGUUAGAACAUCAAACAGUAAAUGGAGCGUGCCAGCAGGCAGACGAGAAGUAUGAGAAAUUUGCUGUUUGGAUGCACUUUCAAGAACAGUGAGAAAAAAACAAAAACCUCCUGAGAUGCCAAGAACAACUAAAAAGCUUGGACAACAGCGCCCCUCACUGAUCCAUUGGUGCACGUUAGUCAAUCUCUACCAAAGGUCAUACAGUUGUGGUCAAGAACUGCAGUCA